AGAGUUUGAUCCUGGCUCAGGACGAACGCUGGCGGUGUGCUUAACACAUGCAAGUCGAACGGUAAGGCCCUUUCGGGGGUACACGAGUGGCGAACGGGUGAGUAACACGUGAGUAACCUGCCCUCAUCUCUGGGAUAACAGUCGGAAACGGUUGCUAAUACUGGAUAUGAGCUUGCAAGGCAUCUUGUGGGUUGGAAAGAUAUUUUUUGGUUGGGGAUGGACUCGCGGCCUAUCAGCUUGUUGGUGAGGUAGUGGCUCACCAAGGCUUCGACGGGUAGCCGGCCUGAGAGGGCGACCGGCCACAUUGGGACUGAGAUACGGCCCAAACUCCUACGGGAGGCAGCAGUGGGGAAUAUUGCACAAUGGACGGAAGUCUGAUGCAGCAACGCCGCGUGCGGGAUGACGGCCUUCGGGUUGUAAACCGCUUUCAAUUGUGACGAAGCUUUUUUGUGACGGUAGCAGUAGAAGAAGCACCGGCUAACUACGUGCCAGCAGCCGCGGUGAUACGUAGGGUGCGAGCGUUGUCCGGAUUUAUUGGGCGUAAAGAGCUUGUAGGCGGUUUGUCGCGUCGGGAGUGAAAACUUGGGGCUUAACCCUGAGCUUGCUUUCGAUACGGGCUGACUUGAGGGAGGUAGGGGAGAAUGGAAUUCCUGGUGGAGCGGUGGAAUGCGCAGAUAUCAGGAGGAACACCGGUGGCGAAGGCGGUUCUCUGGACCUUUCCUGACGCUGAGAAGCGAAAGCGUGGGGAGCGAACAGGCUUAGAUACCCUGGUAGUCCACGCCGUAAACGGUGGGUACUAGGUGUGGGGGACAUUCCACGUUCUCCGUGCCGUAGCUAACGCAUUAAGUGCCCCGCCUGGGGAGUACGGCCGCAAGGCUAAAACUCAAAGGAAUUGACGGGGGCCCGCACAAGCGGCGGAGCAUGCGGAUUAAUUCGAUGCAACGCGAAGAACCUUACC
rnacentral:rRNA from 1 species